UCCUACACCCAAAUGUGACCGUGUUGC
rnacentral:piRNA from 1 species